UUGAUACCCUCUUUAAGUGAGCUACCAGAUUUACAGCUUUCUUAUAGUACUGUUUAAACAGGGGUACAAACAAGAAGAGGAACCUGUAGUCUUUGUGGAAGGUUAUAGCUCUGCCUUUCAAAAUGAAUUUAGAAGUUUUAUACCC
rnacentral:snoRNA from 1 species